ensembl:lncRNA
GAAUCUUCUGCUUUUAGUCUUGUCUUGGGCACCCAGUGACGGGUUCUUCUGAUCAUUAUUAUUAUUAUUGUCUGACCGUUUUCAUGAAAGCAACACCAAAGACCAUAGAGAUGUUCUGAGGAAGAUCACUAUAGUGCCUCAACUAGCUGGCAAAAUAAACAGCCAGGUUGCAGAACAACUGUUCUCAAAGAUGAGGAAAAACAACUAUUUUUUAAACAUGUCUCGGCCUUCUACUCAUUUGUUUCAAAUGAGAACCAUAAUUCACCACUACAAUGAAAAAAGGAACAAUAAAGUGAUGACCAAAUUAAGGAAGACUUUUGGAUCUAAGAUGGUGGUGAAUAUGCAUGGACAAGCUGUGUUGGGUGAAGAAAAAUACCUUAUAUGAAAUAUUAAACACUGUUUUUACAAUUGGUGGAAAGACAUUGGCCACCAAACAUAAUGUGUGUUUUGAAGUAACUGAGUUUUGGAUGUAACUUUAGAUUUGUUUGUAUUGUAACAGAAAACAUGAACAUCUCCAGUGAGGAAACCACAGAAAUUGAGAUGGAGGACACAACCCUUACAUCUGUGACAGUCCCAACCACAGAAAAUGAAAUGGUGUGUAACAUCAAACACCUGUCUGCAAAUAGAGUGUGCUGGGAUUGUCUACCAAGUCAUAGGCAAUCAGAAAUGCUUGACUGGGCCUUGAGAAUAGAGAACCCAGAUGAGACAAUUGCUGAAAUUGACAACAUUGUCCUGAAAAGAAAAGAUUUUUGGACGCUGGGUCUCAAUGAGCAGUUGGAGGCAACAAUUGCAAACAGCUGUCUUGAAGUGGUUGCAUUGGUGGCUAAAGAACAGGGAAUGGAUGUGUGGACAGCUGACGCAUAUGUUGUGGCUACCUGGUUACCUCCAAAUAAUUUGGACCCAUCACUGUCUUUUCCAGUAAGGCCAUAAAGUUACAUCACAUUCAUAAUACUGAAAAUGUAAUUUAAAUCUGACUUAAAAAAAACUUUUUAUUAAAAAAAAUGUAUUUUAAAAUUAUCUAUAGGAUCACAUUGCAUUCAAAGAUGCUAUUGUCUUUCCUGCUUGGAAGCCAGGACACUGGAUGUUGUGUGUAAGUUAUAUGGAAUUUGGUUACUAAAUAUAUAAUUGCAUCUGUAAAUUGCCUUCAUUUGUCUUGUCACAAUUCAAAAUUACCAUUGCACUAUUGCAACCUACUAACACACUGUUUUCCAGGUAAUGAAGCCAAAAGAUAGACAAAUCUACUUCUUAGAUUCAACCAAUCCCUAUGGGUUGGGUGAUGAGUGCUAUGUGCACAUUUUCAGGUUGCUUAAAUGUGAAAAUGUUCAUGGUUCGCUGUUCAUAAGGUUUGCCUUCAAAUGUUCAAAAUGUUGGCUUAAUGGUUAUUUGGAUGUUUGCAUGAUGUUCUGAAUUUGCGUGUGUGUGACAAUUGUUUUAUUUUCUGAAAGGCCCAGUUACUGGGGGCUACUGUUUUUGCAGAUUUUCUUUGUAUUCAUACUCUUUCAUAUGAACUUUGUUGUUAUUAUUUGUGUAUUUUUGUUUCAGUAAGAUGACAGCUAAAAUUGCACCUGGCACAUGGAUGCUACUAAAAAACAAGGUUAAUUUUGUAAUUGGGACAUAUGUCAAUCUCUUACACACAACCUAAAUAUUUUUCUUUUUCAUUUUUUUUUAAGGAUGUCCCCCAACAGAUUGGCUAUGUGGACUGUGGAUUUUCAUUCAGGGAAGACAUGGAGAUUUUUUUAGUUGAAUGCCAUGAAAAAAUGGGGUUAAAAUUGAAUUCUUCGUUUGAAGAGUGAAAAGUAUAAGACUUUCAAAAGCUUUUUUUUUUUUUUAUAUUACAAUUAAAUUUCUAAAUUUUAAUUUUAGUUCUAUUUUUGGUUGUUGAAAUGUUUUUUUUUUAUUAGUAUGUUGCACUUUUUCCAUGUUCAAUUUGAAUUUUAAAAUAAAAAGUAUUCUUGACAUCAAACGUC